ensembl:lncRNA
AUGAUUUCUAUGAUUCUAGGGUCCCUCUUCUCUGAGACACCACAAGUACCAGCUGCUUGGAAGGCCUCUGCACUUCCAGCUCCCUGCCUACUUCUUGCCAUCAGCCCACUGCCUUCACCUGCCUCACUCCCUCUCCCUCUGCUGCACUGGCCCUUCAGGAAUAGUCCAUGCUUGAAGCUCUGCGUGUUCACCUACUCCCCAUCCAUCCCUUCCCAACCCAGAGCUGACAGAUUCACAGGGACCUGGGGGCCUAUGGAAGCAGGGAAGGAAGGAAGGAAGGAAGGAAGGAAGGAAGGAAGGAAGGAAGGAAGGAAGGAAGGAGGGAAGGAAACUAAUUAGGAUUUGGGGCAAGUCAUCCAACCUUAAUUGAAAUUCAUUUGCAUUUAUCUAUAAAAAUAUAAAAUGUUAUUCCUGGUACUCUUUCUUGGUAUGUUGUGGUUUAUCCUCCCUAUUCCUGUCCCUUGAGUCAUAUUUCGACUUUUCUUUACACAUCUGUAAGUGUGCUACUAAAUAAAAAUUGGGUAGAGUAACACCAGCCAGAAUACAUAUCACUUCCUUUUGCUCCAAAACUGAGAGGAAGAAAACAAUGGGGUGCCAUUUUAGACACACUGCAUGAACAAAAAAGAAAACUGCUUUUUCUUUGUUUCUUUUUAAAAAUAAUACCCAAUGCCAGGCAAGGCCACAGCAGAAAGGCAUUUUAAAAACCAUAAAAAUAUUCAUGUUUUUUUGACCCUGUCAUCCCACUUCACAAACUAUCUUGAGGAAAUAAUCCAAAAUGGGGGAAAAAACAAGUUCAAUAGUAAAGAAAUAGUUUAGCAAAGUAAUCUGCCCAAUCGAUUAAGUAGUCAUAAAUAUGAUAAAUAUGAAGGGUAUAUUGCAACAUGGAAAAGUACUUAGUAUAUAAACAAAGUGUCUUCCUACAGUAACAAUACUCAAUAUUGAAAGGUGACAGAUAUCAACAGUACAGUGCAGUGGCUCACGCCUGUAAUCCCAGCACUUUGGGAGGCCGAGGCGGGCAGAUCACCUGACGUCAGGAGUUCAAGACCAGGCUGACCAAAAUGGUGAAACCCUGUCUCUACUAAACAUAUGAAAAUUAGCUGGGCGUGGUGGCAGGUGCCUGUAAUCCCGGCUACUCGGGAGGCUGAGGCAGGAGACACACUUGAACCCAGGAGGCAGAGGUUGCAGUGAGCCAAGAUCACACCACUGCACUCCAGCCUGGGCGACAGAGCGAGAUUCUGUCUCAAAAAAAAAAAAAAAAGAAAGAAAGAAAGAAAGAAAAGUGACAGCUAUAAAGUCCUGUACUUCUGCUGUGAUGCUAUGGAUGAAUUCAAGCACCAAAGGGGAAUGUGGUAACCACAAGGAAGAGCUUCGAAUGAAUGCACAAUUAUUCUAAAUAAGUUUGAAUCAAUAAGCAUGAAUAAGUGUGAAGCUCCUCAGCAUGUUUUAAAUGAGUAAGUAUUGCUAAUUUUUAAAUUGUCAUUUUAUUAAAAAAUCAUUUUCAGAAAUGUUUGUCCACAGGAAGAAAGGGUAAUCACAAAUUAAUAAUUGUACUUUUGUGUACAUCUAUAUUCUUAAGGCUAGGUAUUUAAUUAAGGACUUCUUCCUCACAAGUGAAACAACAUGAAAAUAGGUAAUAAGCCUUGCUUCCUGCUAUGAACCUCAACAUAUAAUGAUAAAAUAUAAAGAAAUGCCAUUGGCCGGGCGCGGUGGCUCAAGCCUGUAAUCCCAGCACUUUGGGAGGCCGAGACGGGCGGAUCACUAGGUCAGGAGAUCGAGACCAUCCUGGCUAACACGGUGAAACCCCGUCUCUACUAAAAAAUACAAAAAACUAGCCGGGCGAGGUGGCGGGCGCCUGUAGUCCCAGCUACUCAGGAGGCUGAGACAGGAGAAUGACGUAAACCCGGGAGGCGGAGCUUGCAGUGAGCUGAGAUCCGGCCACUGCACUCCAGCCUGGGCGACAGAGCAAGACUCCGUCUCAAAAAAAAAAAAAAAAAAAGAAAUGCCAUUUAAGAGUCCGUAAGAAGGCAGCUUCUUAAAGGACAGUUCUAGAGAACAGAUGUCAAAAUCACAGUUCUUUAUUUUGUGUGUGUGAUACGAACAGUACCCAGAAUUUACUUUGGAGGUUUCUCACACCCACGAUUUAAUUUUAAAACUGAUAUGCAAACAUGAUCCCAUGAUGGUAUCUCCUCUCUUCCAUACGCUAUGAAGUCAAGAAGAAUAUGGGCUUAGCUCUCUGAAGGACACAAAACAGGCAUACAGUGUAGUCCCUGCUCUCAAGGAGAUGCCAAUCUAGUUGGGGAGACUGCUAAAAAAGUCAGGAGACAAGCUUGAACUUAGUGAGUAGUUUAGCUUUCAGAGACUUAGAAAACACACUGAAUAACGAGCAAGACCACAUUAUGGAAGCUCCCAACACCAAGGUGAGCUUAGACCUUGACGGAGGAGGAAGUAUGAUGCUAUUACAAUUUUUGAAUAGGGAAAAUGGCAUUAUCGCCCUGUUUAUUUUGUUUUAUUUUAUUUUCAUUUUAUUUUUGAGGCAGGGUCUUGCUCUGUCACCCAGGCUGGAGUUGCAGUGGCACUAUCUUGGCUCACUACACCCUUGAUCUCCUGGGCUCAAGUGAUCCAACCACUUCCUGAGUAGCUGGGACCACAGGCACACACCACCAUUCCUGGUUAUGUCUUUUAAAAUAUUUUUUGUAGAGACAAGAUUUCAUCAUGUUGCCCAAGCUGGUUUCGAACUUCUGGGCUUAAGUGAUCUGCCUGCCUUGGCCUCCCAAAGUGCUGGGGCUAUAGACAUGAGCCACCGUGCCCGGCCUAUUACACUGUUUAAACCCUUCAACUUCCCACCACUCCCACAAUAAAACAAAGUCCUUAAUAUCAUUUACAAGAUCCUCAUAAGAUCUGACUGUUCCUUUCCUUUCCUUCCUGC